rnacentral:snRNA from 14 species
AUACCUUUCUCGGCCUUUUGGCUAAGAUCAAGUGUAGUAUCUGUUCUUAUCAGUUUAAUAUCUGAUUAGUGGCCCAAUGGGUCACAACAGUAUUAAAUUACUUUUUUGAGUGGGAGAGACCAUUUCAAUAGCUUGCUAUUGGGUUUCUCAAGUGUCGCCUAUGCUUUGCACUAUUGCAUUGGCUGGCACACCCCUC